AAGAAAAAUGCUGUUGUCUCAGAUGAGAAGAAGAAGCUGGUAGCUUAUCAUGAGGCUGGCCAUGCCUUGGUUGGUGCACUUAUGCCCGAGUAUGAUCCUGUUGCCAAGAUAUCUAUAAUUCCUCGAGGCCAAGCCGGUGGUCUCACCUUCUUUGCCCCCAGCGAAGAAAGACUUGAGUCAGGCCUGUACAGCAGGAGCUAUCUAGAGAAUCAAAUGGCAGUUGCACUUGGUGGAAGAGUUGCUGAGGAGGUUAUUUUUGGACAAGACAACGUAACAACUGGAGCAUCUAACGAUUUCAUGCAAGUCUCACGAGUGGCAAGGCAG
rnacentral:misc_RNA from 1 species